rnacentral:lncRNA from 10 species
UAGCAACCAGGGCCUGGAAGGCAGACAAAGGUAACUGGCCCCAUGUGAUAAAAACAGGUUCCUUCUACGUGUGGGGCUUCUCCACUGCCAGGUUCCUGCAGCAAGUAGCAGUCACCAGCACCCAGUGGCCAGCAGCUUCCUCCACCACCUCCUGCUUGACACUGGAGUAAAUUCCAAAACAUGGCACCACCCUGUGAAUAGCUUCCUUGACACCCAAGAAGGUCAAUUAGACUGCGGUUGCAUGGAUGCCAUCUGGAUUUUCCAGAAGGAUCCAGAGAAAACGUAGCUGGAUACCAGACAUCCUGCUAAGAAGAAAUGCCUUAGGGGCUGGGCCCAGCAAAGUGUCUACCGGGAGUAGUUGACAAGCCCAGUUGGAGAGAGAUUCUAAAUCAUUAAUUUUAAGCCACUGGAAAUUAAAAGGUCAAAACUGGGCAAGUGGCAACAAAGAGACUUUCAACCUGAAAACUGGUCAUCAUUUCAAAAGCCCCAUUUGGAAGCAAACCCUGGGAUUAUCAAGGAGAG